UCGCAGGCCGAAAUAAUUGAACAUUUUGUAUGUUUUUCUGUGCUGUCUUAGGAAGAAGGACAGAUGUCAGGAGGAAAGAAACAUCUCCUACAUGAAGUGGGAAGAAAGUGAGGCUCACCCCUGGCUGCAUCCAGGGAAUGCUGACCUCCAAGCUUGUAGACCUCCAAGGGAGCUUGUCACCCAAGCCUAGUCAUCGUCCUGUCCUUCUUCUCCUCAUUGGGCACUUGAGGUUUCAGGAUCCCUGAAGUUAUCCUGGGCAUCCUGGUGUAUCCCCACACACAUCCAUCAAGCUAGGAUCACUGAGAAAGACAAGGUAAAACCGUAUGACUCUCCCUUCCUGGGGCCCUUCUUGAUGGCUAACUUUCUCACCAUGGUUCUCUCCAACCUACAUGUUUGAUUCCCUCCCUCUCUUGUUUUCCUGGUUGAAAUGUGGUUCUUCAACUCUAGAC
rnacentral:lncRNA from 1 species